CCUGUGAGCCCUGACCCGCAGCCAGCGAUUGGUGUUGACCUUCACAGUGGAGCGCAGCACCACAGGCUGGGAGCCCAAGUCAUAGCUCAGCUGCAGGCACCCAUCCACAAUGGCCAGAGCCACAUAGUCAGUGCGCUCUGUGGCUUUGCCACUCCACAGCACCAGCCCCUGAGUGGCCUCAGUGCGCAAGCUCAGUUCAAAGUGGUUGCUCUGCAGCGCCUUCUCGCUGUGGGGGAAGGGCAGGGCAGGUCAGGCCUUCGGGAAGGCAGCAGGGCACGGGGUGGGGAGGCAGGAGGGCUGGAGCUGGUGAUGCGACCCAGGGCAGCUGCACAGGCAAGGGCAGCAAUAGCAGGGUCGGGGAGAGGCAGACAGAUGGAGGGACGGAGCGGCAGAGAAACAAAGAGAGACCGAGACAGUGGGCAGGCACACAGCAGGGCAGGGCCCGGCCAGGGUCUCAGGCACUGCCAUGUGCUCACCUGUGAAGGGCCCCGGAAUCUGCAGUUUCCGGGCUUAGAAGCAGGGAGAGAGGGAAGCAGUGAGGGGGGGCAGAUAGGCUGAAGUCCCCUUUUCCACACUGGCAAUCAUCCACUAAGGCAUGCACAACCCCAGUUCUACCGGCCCAGCCCCUAGAGAGCCUUGGCAGGGAUAUGUGUGCCACAUGUGUGUGCAGACACAGCGGGGCAUCGCCCGGCAGGGUGCAGAGGAGAUGGGGUGAGGCAGAGAGCUCACCUGCCAGGGGGUGGCAACCGUCCUGUACCAGUACGUGUGCGCGCACACACACACAAGAACACACACGCGCACGCACACAGGCUCAUUCUUCAUCUCACACACACCUAUGUUUCACAUGAACACGGGAACACGUGGGCUGUGCACACGCGUGCACAUAUAUUCACAGCAGAUAUGCACACUGCAUGUGUACACAUGGAAACCUGCACAUAAAUACAUGGCCCGUGUGCACACUCGCCCUGCUGCUGUGUAUGGGGUGAUCAUGGGGGGGUGAUGCAGCCAGCCCUCGGCAUGGGUCCUGGGAGGGAGAGGUCCCCACUUCUAAGGUUGGGGUUGAGCCUUGUGUAGCGCAAAUGAGCCCUGACACCCAUCCUCCACCCAGGAUGGGAAGCUCUGCUCUCAGUGGGGCUAGGACUGUGCUGCCAGGCAGGGGGCACAUGAUGGACAUAACAGCAUGGGGUAGAUGGAGACCAGAGGCUACUUACACUGGGAUCUCAUUGGCCAGUUCGCUUGGAAACAAAGAGACAGACACAGUGAGAAGGAAGGAGGGCAGUGGUGGGGCAGACACUGGCCCUGCCCCCCUCCUGGUACAGAGCCAGUGGGCUUGUGGGGUUCUGGUGUCCUGCUCUGCUCUGCUGGCAUGCACAGACAGGAACAGACAGACAGUGGUGGCGGGGGGGUGCCUGGCUCCUGGAGGCACAUUACCUCUCCCUCACAGCGUUGAGGUACUCGAUGUAGGUCUGCCCGUCAAAAGCCAGCGUCUCCAGGUCCCUCGCUGACUUUUCAACCAACCCUGAGAGACAGGCCAUCACACGGGCCCCAGGCAACCCGAGCCUCACCCAGCCCUAGCCAUGUGCUGCCAGAGCUCACCUUUCUCACAGUGCAGCCCUGAGAAGCCCGGAGGACACAGGCACUCGUAGGCGGCCUCCCGUGGGAGACACGAGGCUCCGUUGAGACAGGGGUGGCCCUGGGCUUGGGUGCAAGGGUGGUCAGCAAAGGGCGAGACGCCCACUGCCUGCAGGACAUGCUCCUGGGCCAGCAGCUGGCGGCCUCCCAGGGAGAUCUGCAGG
rnacentral:lncRNA from 1 species